GAUGGACGCUGGCGGCGUGCCUAAUACAUGCAAGUCGAGCGAACGGACGAUAAGCUUUCUUCUCUGAUGUUAGCGGCUGACGGGUGAGUAACACGUGGAUCACCUUCCUAUAAUACUUGGAUAACUUCGUGAAACCGGAGCUAAUACCGGAUAAUAUUUUGAACCGCAUGGUUCAAAAGUGAAAGACGGUUCUGCUGUCACUUAUAGAUGGAUCCGCGCUGCAUUAGCUAGUUGGUAAGGUAACGGCUUACCAAGGCAACGAUGCAUAGCCGACCUGAGAGGAUGAUCGGCCACACUGGAACUGAGACACGGUCCAGACUCCUACGGGAGGCAGCAGUAGGGAAUAUUCGGCAAUGGGCGAAAGCCUGACGGAGCAACGCCGCGUGAGUGAUGAAGGUCUUCGGAUCGUAAAACUCUGUUAUUAGGGAAGAACAUAAGUGUAAGUAACUGUGCACGUCUUGACGGUACCUAAUCAGAAAGCAACGGCUAACUACGUG
rnacentral:rRNA from 1 species